GACAGAGGAUGCAAGCGUUAUCCGGAAUGAUUGGGCGUAAAGCGUCUGUAGGUGGCUUUUCAAGUCCGCCGUCAAAUCCCAGGGCUCAACCCUGGACAGGCGGUGGAAACUACCAAGCUGGAGUACGGUAGGGGCAGAGGGAAUUUCCGGUGGAGCGGUGAAAUGCAUUGAGAUCGGAAGGAACACCCGUAGCGAAGGCGGCACUCUGGGCCGGUACUGACGCUGAGGAGCGAAAGCGUGGGGAGCAAACAGG
rnacentral:rRNA from 1 species